GGGUUACCUAUAUGAGAUGUUGAAGCCGGUCAGGUUAUAAGGUCAGGUUAUAAGGUCAGGGGUUAAGGGUUACCUAUAUGAGAUGUUGAAGCCGGUCAGGUUAUAAGGUCAGGGGUUAAGGGUUACCUAUAUGAGAUGUUGAAGCCGGU